rnacentral:rRNA from 1 species
AGUCGUACGAGUUCUCGUUGAUGAUCGGUGCUUGCACCGAGAUUCAACAUGGAACGAGUGGCGGACGGGUGAGUAACACGUGGGUAACCUGCCCUUAAGUGGGGGAUAACAUUUGGAAACAGAUGCUAAUACCGCAUAGAUCCAAGAACCGCAUGGUUCUUGGCUGAAAGAUGGCGUAAGCUAUCGCUUUUGGAUGGACCCGCGGCGUAUUAGCUAGUUGGUGAGGUAAUGGCUCACCAAGGCGAUGAUACGUAGCCGAACUGAGAGGUUGAUCGGCCACAUUGGGACUGAGACACGGCCCAAACUCCUACGGGAGGCAGCAGUAGGGAAUCUUCCACAAUGGACGCAAGUCUGAUGGAGCAACGCCGCGUGAGUGAAGAAGGCUUUCGGGUCGUAAAACUCUGUUGUUGGAGAAGAAUGGUCGGCAGAGUAACUGUUGUCGGCGUGACGGUAUCCAACCAGAAAGCCACGGCUAACUACGUGCCAGCAGCCGCGGUAAUACGUAGGUGGCAAGCGUUAUCCGGAUUUAUUGGGCGUAAAGCGAGCGCAGGCGGUUUUUUAAGUCUGAUGUGAAAGCCCUCGGCUUAACCGAGGAAGCGCAUCGGAAACUGGGAAACUUGAGUGCAGAAGAGGACAGUGGAACUCCAUGUGUAGCGGUGAAAUGCGUGGAUAUAUGGAAGAACACCAGUGGCGAAGGCGGCUGUCUGGUCUGUAACUGACGCUGAGGCUCGAAAGCAUGGGUAGCGAACAGGAUUAGAUACCCUGGUAGUCCAUGCCGUAAACGAUGAAUGCUAGGUGUUGGAGGGUUUCCGCCCUUCAGUGCCGCAGCUAACGCAUUA